CCCUUAGAUGUUCGGGGCCGCACGCGCGCUACACUGAAGGAAUCAGCACGUCUUUCUCCUUGUCCGAAAGGACUGGGUAACCCGCUGAACCUCCUUCGUGCUAGGGAUUGGGGCUUGUAAUUCUUCCCCAUGAACGAGGAAUUCCCAGUAAGCGCGAGUCAUAAGCUCGCGUUGAUUACGUCCCUGCCCUUUGUACACACCGCCCGUCGCUACUACCGAUUGGAUGGUCCGGUGAAGCCUCGGGAUUGUGGUUCUUGCCGCUUUAUUGUGGCGUGACCGCGAGAACUUGUCUAAACCUUAUCAUCUAGAGGAAGGUGAAGUCGUAACA
rnacentral:rRNA from 1 species